AUUAACAGGAUUAUCCAAAAGUGCGGAAGAAAUUGAUCGAUCUGAGACCAAAACGGAGAAUAAAAAUCAUCAAUUUUCGAAUGAAAAUCAAUCAUCUAGUAAAUUCCAAGGUUCGGAAAAAGAGUUAACCAGUUUGAAGGAAAAUGGAACAAGUAAAACUGGAGAAACUCAUUCGCGUUGUUAUGACUGUUUUUCUAGUUUUUUUUCUGAGAUGUUUUCCAUUUGUUUCGAUUCCUGUGUGGAAGGAAUUGCCAAUAAACAUAAUUGAAUCGAAACAAAAUAAAAAGAAGAGAGAAAAAUCUGGACAAUUUGUUUUUUAAAAAAAAAGAACAAAAAAUUUGACAUUUUGAAAUGAGAAUAUUUUUUAAACUUCGCGCUUCAUUUUUUCCUUGUUAUGUUAACUCAACACACUUUUUGUUUUGUUGCAAUUAAAACCAAUAGAUUUUUAAUGUUUUAAGUGUCAAUUUGAUUUGAAUUUUUUUGGAUUUUCGGUUAUUUAAGAUUACAAACAAUCAAAUGAAAGAUUAUGUCCCAAUCAACUCUCCCCGAGAGCUCUGAUAAAAGUGUUGAAAAUAAUUCUCCAUCAAAUAAUAUUAGUCUCAUUCAAGAUCUUUUUGCUGACAUGUUAACUGAAGUGACCCAGUCAAAGAAAUCACCACAACCAUCAACACAAUCACAACCAUUGCCACAAUUAGAAUCACAAGUGAUACCUAACUUACUACCACCACCACCUCCACCUCCACCUCCACCAGCACCAGAACAAUCAUCUCAAUCAGUGAUUUCACCAGCACCACUGCCACUCUCUCAAUCACAACAACAACAAUCCAAGACACAACCACAACUUCAACCUCAACAAGCUACCAGUAGCACUACCAACAACAAUGAGCAACAAAAAGCUCAAAAUGAUUUAACACUAUUAGGUAAUAAUAAUAAUAAUCCAAUUUUAAGCAAUAUGAAAAGGCCGGUUAACCAAGAAUCCAUUAAAAGUGGAUCAACUAGUAAUUCUAUUCAAAAGUCAAACAAUGUUAAUUCUCCUUCUAAAAAUCAACCCAAAUAUCUGUUAAACUCUUUCAAUUGGAUAACAUUACUGGAAAGAGAUCAUGAUAUGUCUGUUGCAUCGGUUUCAUCCUUUAGACAUUGUCCCAUGUCCCAAGUUUGGAAUAGUCUAAUCACCGUUGGUCUCAAGGUGGAAGUUAAAAAUCGUGAUGUUGCUUUACCAAAAUCGCCAAGGCCAAAGCAAGAUUACUAUUGGAUCGCCUCAGUUGUCAAAGUGUCAGGAUACUUUGUUCUGCUUAGAUUUGAGGGAUUUGACACCGAUGGAACAAAAGAUUUUUGGCUUAACUUAUUUUCUAAUCAACUUCACCCAAUUGGCUGGUGUGCAUCCCAAGGAAAAGUUUUAAUACCACCAAGAAUGAUUGCCGAUAAAUACAGUGAUUGGAAAGCCGUUCUUGUUAAAAGGUUAACCGGUGGUCGAACUUUACCUGAAAAUUUUUUCGAUCAAGUAAAAGAAAGUAUGAAAAGUCGCUUUCGAGUAGGAAUGGUUUUGGAAUGUGUUGAUAAGACUCGUUUAAGUGCCGUUAGAGUUGCAACUAUUGACAAAAUUAUUGGAAAUCGAUUACAUUUAAACUAUGAAGGUGAAAAUGAGGACAAUUCAGGUUUCUGGUGUCAUGAGAAUUCACCCUUAAUCCAUCCAAUCGGUUGGGCUCAGGUUGUUGGCCAUGAACUUAAAGCGACCCAAGAAUAUGCUCGUUCAUCUUUAGAGAAAACGAUUCACAAAACAUUUGACGACAAUGACGCAUAUUGGUCUUUAUUUCCUGUACAAAGACCUCAUCCAACAGUGAACAUGGCCGAUUACCGAUUCACCGAAGGGAUGAAAUUAGAGGCAAUAGAUCCAUUAAACCUAUCCAAUAUCUGUGUUGCCACCGUGACCAAAGUUUUACGAAAUCAUUUCUUAAUGGUCGGAAUUGACGGGAUGAUGGCCAACGAUGGAUCCGAUUGGUUCUGUUAUCAUGUUUUAAGUCCAAAUAUAUUUCCUGCCGGAUUUUGUAUGUUAAACAACAUUCCUCUCACUCCACCAAGAGGUUAUAAUAGGGAAUUCAAUUGGUUUGAAUAUCUCCAAGAAACUAAAUCUCGAGCUGCUCCUGUUCAUUUGUUCAAAAAAGAUAUUCCCGUUCAUGGUUUUAAAGAGGGAAUGCUAAUAGAAGCUGUUGAUUUAAUGGUACCUCGAUUAAUCUGUGUUGCUACAAUAAUCAAGGUUGUUGGUCGAUUGCUUAAAAUACAUUUUAAUGGCUGGGAUGAAACUUAUGAUCAAUGGUGUGAUUGUGAAUCACCAGAAUUAUAUCCAAUUGGCUGGUGUCAAAUGGUUGGUUAUCCCUUGGAACCACCAAGAGAAAGUGAUGCUGGAGAUACACAUAUGACAACCUAUUCAUCGGCACUUGAUGGUAGAUCAAAGAAACGUAAUAUUUACAAAGGUCGUCAUAAAAAGCGAAGACGAGGUGGCCUUAAUGUGUCCAGUUCCAGUGAUAACAGUCAAGUGACCCUUUCAAAUACAAAUGACAGAGCCUCAACUUCAGAUUUCAUGGAGUCUUUUUCAUCACCUUACUCACCUUACAAUUACGAUUGGUCUCAACAAACGGGCACUUCUUCAUCACCUCCUACCUCAACCUCUUUCGCUAACGAAUCUAAUAGUUCAGUUAUUGUUAAACCUUCACCCGUUCAACCAAUCAUAAUUCAAGAACCAACCUCAUCCAAUCCAUCAUUAACUACAACUUCAUCUUCCAAAAGAUCAACUGAUCCUCGUCAAUGGUCAGUAAAUGAUGUUUGUAAUUUUUUAAGGUCCAAGGAUCACGGAAAUCAUGUCCAAUCUUUUGCAAGAGCGCAAAUCAAUGGAUCUCGAUUAUUACAAUUGACCACGGACGAAGUAUUAGAAUUAACUAAUAAAAAACUAGGACCUUCGCUCAAAAUAUAUGCCUUGAUUCAGUCAUUAAAAGGGAUUAAACCGCAAUGAUGUCUAUACAAAUUAGGAGAACAAUUAAUUAUUAAUUAUUUAUACAAAAUCUACAUUGAAUGUGAAAGACUAAUGGACAUUUCUUCUUGUUUAUAUUACAAAAUCGAGCCUCAAGUAAAAAGAAACAACGAAACUACCGGACACUAGCUCUAUGUGAAGACACACAUACAAUCACAAUAUCGACAAAUUUACCAAUUCAGAAAGAUAGAGACUUAAUUUUUUAAAUACCAUUUUUUUCACAACAAUUGAAGCAACAAUUUAAAAUCCACAAUUGGAAAGGACAAAGAUAAAUGAUGCUACCUGUAAAUGGAGAUAAAUUUGAUUUAAACGGAAAGUUAUCAUCAUAACUAAUUACACGAAGCCUUCUCUUCCUGAUUUAAUCAUUAAACACCUCUUACCAUAUCAAGGAAUCAAUGAUAAUUAUAUAUUUAUACUCUUUCCAUCAGAAAUUAACCGCCAAUGGAUAAAACCAACAUCAUCUUUACUUAAUCAUUACGCAUUCCUUAAAUUGUAAGGAUGAUUUUGUUGAAAGAACAACAA